rnacentral:rRNA from 1 species
GGUUAAGCGACUAAGCGUACACGGUGGAUGCCCUGGCAGUCAGAGGCGAUGAAGGACGUGCUAAUCUGCGAUAAGCGUCGGUAAGGUGAUAUGAACCGUUAUAACCGGCGAUUUCCGAAUGGGGAAACCCAGUGUGAUUCGUCACACUAUCAUUAACUGAAUCCAUAGGUUAAUGAGGCGAACCGGGGGAACUGAAACAUCUAAGUACCCCGAGGAAAAGAAAUCAACCGAGAUUCCCCCAGUAGCGGCGAGCGAACGGGGAGGAGCCCAGAGCCUGAAUCAGUGUGUGUGUUAGUGGAAGCGUCUGGAAAGGCGCGCGAUACAGGGUGACAGCCCCGUACACAAAAAUGCACAUGCUGUGAGCUCGAUGAGUAGGGCGGGACACGUGGUAUCCUGUCUGAAUAUGGGGGGACCAUCCUCCAAGGCUAAAUACUCCUGACUGACCGAUAGUGAACCAGUACCGUGAGGGAAAGGCGAAAAGAACCCCGGCGAGGGGAGUGAAAAAGAACCUGAAACCGUGUACGUACAAGCAGUGGGAGCCUCUUUAUGGGGUGACUGCGUACCUUUUGUAUAAUGGGUCAGCGACUUAUAUUCUGUAGCAAGGUUAACCGAAUAGGGGAGCCGAAGGGAAACCGAGUCUUAACUGGGCGUUAAGUUGCAGGGUAUAGACCCGAAACCCGGUGAUCUAGCCAUGGGCAGGUUGAAGGUUGGGUAACACUAACUGGAGGACCGAACCGACUAAUGUUGAAAAAUUAGCGGAUGACUUGUGGCUGGGGGUGAAAGGCCAAUCAAACCGGGAGAUAGCUGGUUCUCCCCGAAAGCUAUUUAGGUAGCGCCUCGUGAACUCAUCUCCGGGGGUAGAGCACUGUUUCGGCAAGGGGGUCAUCCCGACUUACCAACCCGAUGCAAACUGCGAAUACCGGAGAAUGUUAUCACGGGAGACACACGGCGGGUGCUAACGUCCGUCGUGAAGAGGGAAACAACCCAGACCGCCAGCUAAGGUCCCAAAGUCAUGGUUAAGUGGGAAACGAUGUGGGAAGGCCCAGACAGCCAGGAUGUUGGCUUAGAAGCAGCCAUCAUUUAAAGAAAGCGUAAUAGCUCACUGGUCGAGUCGGCCUGCGCGGAAGAUGUAACGGGGCUAAACCAUGCACCGAAGCUGCGGCAGCGACGCUUAUGCGUUGUUGGGUAGGGGAGCGUUCUGUAAGCCUGUGAAGGUGUGCUGUGAGGCAUGCUGGAGGUAUCAGAAGUGCGAAUGCUGACAUAAGUAACGAUAAAGCGGGUGAAAAGCCCGCUCGCCGGAAGACCAAGGGUUCCUGUCCAACGUUAAUCGGGGCAGGGUGAGUCGACCCCUAAGGCGAGGCCGAAAGGCGUAGUCGAUGGGAAACAGGUUAAUAUUCCUGUACUUGGUGUUACUGCGAAGGGGGACGGAGAAGGCUAUGUUGGCCGGGCGACGGUUGUCCCGGUUUAAGCGUGUAGGCUGGUUUUCCAGGCAAAUCCGGAAAAUCAAGGCUGAGGCGUGAUGACGAGGCACUACGGUGCUGAAGCAACAAAUGCCCUGCUUCCAGGAAAAGCCUCUAAGCAUCAGGUAACAUCAAAUCGUACCCCAAACCGACACAGGUGGUCAGGUAGAGAAUACCAAGGCGCUUGAGAGAACUCGGGUGAAGGAACUAGGCAAAAUGGUGCCGUAACUUCGGGAGAAGGCACGCUGAUAUGUAGGUGAAGUCCCUCGCGGAUGGAGCUGAAAUCAGUCGAAGAUACCAGCUGGCUGCAACUGUUUAUUAAAAACACAGCACUGUGCAAACACGAAAGUGGACGUAUACGGUGUGACGCCUGCCCGGUGCCGGAAGGUUAAUUGAUGGGGUCAGCGCAAGCGAAGCUCUUGAUCGAAGCCCCGGUAAACGGCGGCCGUAACUAUAACGGUCCUAAGGUAGCGAAAUUCCUUGUCGGGUAAGUUCCGACCUGCACGAAUGGCGUAAUGAUGGCCAGGCUGUCUCCACCCGAGACUCAGUGAAAUUGAACUCGCUGUGAAGAUGCAGUGUACCCGCGGCAAGACGGAAAGACCCCGUGAACCUUUACUAUAGCUUGACACUGAACAUUGAGCCUUGAUGUGUAGGAUAGGUGGGAGGCUUAGAAGUGUGGACGCCAGUCUGCAUGGAGCCGACCUUGAAAUACCACCCUUUAAUGUUUGAUGUUCUAACGUUGACCCGUAAUCCGGGUUGCGGACAGUGUCUGGUGGGUAGUUUGACUGGGGCGGUCUCCUCCUAAAGAGUAACGGAGGAGCACGAAGGUUGGCUAAUCCUGGUCGGACAUCAGGAGGUUAGUGCAAUGGCAUAAGCCAGCUUGACUGCGAGCGUGACGGCGCGAGCAGGUGCGAAAGCAGGUCAUAGUGAUCCGGUGGUUCUGAAUGGAAGGGCCAUCGCUCAACGGAUAAAAGGUACUCCGGGGAUAACAGGCUGAUACCGCCCAAGAGUUCAUAUCGACGGCGGUGUUUGGCACCUCGAUGUCGGCUCAUCACAUCCUGGGGCUGAAGUAGGUCCCAAGGGUAUGGCUGUUCGCCAUUUAAAGUGGUACGCGAGCUGGGUUUAGAACGUCGUGAGACAGUUCGGUCCCUAUCUGCCGUGGGCGCUGGAGAACUGAGGGGGGCUGCUCCUAGUACGAGAGGACCGGAGUGGACGCAUCACUGGUGUUCGGGUUGUCAUGCCAAUGGCACUGCCCGGUAGCUAAAUGCGGAAGAGAUAAGUGCUGAAAGCAUCUAAGCACGAAACUUGCCCCGAGAUGAGUUCUCCCUGACCCUUUAAGGGUCCUGAAGGAACGUUGAAGACGACGACGUUGAUAGGCCGGGUGUGUAAGCGCAGCGAUGCGUUGAGCUAACCGGUACUAAUGAACCGUGAGGCUUAACCUU